rnacentral:rRNA from 1 species
UUGCCUCAGUAACGGCGAGUGAAGCGGCAACAGCUCAAAUUUGAAACCUGCCAACCGGCCGGAUUGUAAUUUGUAGAGGAUGCUUUUGGAGUCAGCACUGAUCUAAGUUUUCUUGGAACAGUACGUCACAGAGGGUGAGAAUCCCGUUCGUGGUCGGCUGCUGGCUUCGUGUAAAGCUCCUUCGACGAGUCGAGUUGUUUGGGAAUGCAGCUCAAAAUGGGUGGUAAAUUUCAUCUAAAGCUAAAUAUUGGCCAGAGACCGAUAGCGCACAAGUAGAGUGAUCGAAAGAUGAAAAGCACUUUGGAAAGAGAGUUAAACAGCACGUGAAAUUGUUGAAAGGGAAGCGCUUGCAAUCAGACUUGCGCGUAGGUAAUCAAGGGCGGUUCGCUGCCCUGCACUUGCCUGCGCUCAGGCCAGCAUCAGUUUUGGGGGUGGGAUAAAGGCCGUGGGAAUGUGGCUCUUCGGAGUGUUAUAGCCCUCGGUGCCAUGCCGCCUCCCGAGACUGAGGACCGCGCUUCGGCUAGGAUGCUGGCGUAAUGAUUGUAAGCGACCCGUCUUGAAACACGGACCAAGGAGUCUAACAUCUAUGCGAGUGUUUGGGUGUCAAACCCACACGCGGAAUGAAAGUGAACGGAGGUGAGAGCCCUUGAGGGUGCAUCAUCGACCGAUCCUGAUGUCUUCGGAUGGAUUUGAGUAUGAGCAUAGCUGUUGGGACCCGAAAGAUGGUGAACUAUGCCUGAAUAGGGUGAAGCCAGAGGAAACUCUGGUGGAGGCUCGCAGCGGUUUCUGACGUGCAAAUCGAUCGUCAAAUUUGGGGCAUAGGGCCGAAAGACUAAUCGAAUCAUCUAGUAGCUGAAAUACAUGACGAG